rnacentral:rRNA from 1 species
GACGAACGCUGGCGGCGUGCUUAAUACAUGCAAGUCGAACGGAAAGGCCCUGCUUUUGUGGGGUGCAUGAGUGGCGAACGGGUGAGUAACACGUGAGUAACCUGCCCUUUACUUGGGGAUAACUUCAGGAAACUGUGGCUAAUACCGCAUAAGAGCUGCUGCUGCAUGGCGGUGGUUGGAAAGUUUCGGUGGUUGGGGUUGGACUCGCGGCUUAUCAGCUUUAUGGUGGGGUAGUGGAUUCGCAAGGCCUUGGCGGUUAGCCAGCCUGAGAGUGUGACCGGGCACAGUGUGACUGAGGUAGGGGCAGGACUGCUACGGGAGGCAGCAGCGGGAAAUAGUGCACGAAGGGCGGAGGCCGGAUGCAGCAAUGUCGCGUCGGGAAUGACUGCUGUCGGGGUAGAACGCGUGUGCGCCUGGGAAGAUGCGUGAGUGACGGUAAUGGGUAAAGAAGCAACGGCUAACUACGUG